CCUACGGGGGGCUGCAGUGGGGAAUAUUGGACAAUGGGGGCAACCCUGAUCCAGCCAUGCCGCGUGUGUGAAGAAGGCCCUCGGGUUGUAAAGCACUUUCAGUGAGGAAGAACGCCUGGUGGUUAAUACCCAUCAGGAAAGACAUCACUCACAGAAGAAGCACCGGCUAACUCCGUGCCAGCAGCCGCGGUAAUACGGAGGGUGCGAGCGUUAAUCGGAAUUACUGGGCGUAAAGCGCGCGUAGGUGGCUUGAUAAGCCGGUUGUGAAAGCCCCGGGCUCAACCUGGGAACGGCAUCCGGAACUGUCAAGCUAGAGUGCAGGAGAGGAAGGUAGAAUUCCCGGUGUAGCGGUGAAAUGCGUAGAGAUCGGGAGGAAUACCAGUGGCGAAGGCGGCCUUCUGGAAUGACACUGACACUGAGGUGCGAAAGCGUGGGUAGCAAACAGGAUUAGAUACCCCUGUAGUC
rnacentral:rRNA from 1 species